rnacentral:rRNA from 1 species
UACGGAGGGUGCAAGCGUUAUCCGGAUUCACUGGGUUUAAAGGGUGCGUAGGCGGAUAGGUAAGUCCGUGGUGAAAUCCUGCAGCUUAACUGCAGAACUGCCGUGGAUACUAUCUAUCUUGAAUAUCGUGGAGGUUAGCGGAAUAUGUCAUGUAGCGGUGAAAUGCUUAGAUAUGACAUAGAACACCCAUUGCGAAGGCAGCUAACUACGCGAUCAUUGACGCUAGAUGCACGAAAGCGUGGGGAUCAAACAGG